rnacentral:rRNA from 1 species
GUAGGGUCCGAGCGUUGUCCGGAAUUAUUGGGCGUAAAGGGCUCGUAGGCGGUCUGUCGCGUCGGGAGUGAAAACUCAGGGCUCAACCCUGAGCGUGCUUCCGAUACGGGCAGACUAGAGGUAUGCAGGGGAGAACGGAAUUCCUGGUGUAGCGGUGGAAUGCGCAGAUAUCAGGAGGAACACCGGUGGCGAAGGCGGUUCUCUGGGCAUUACCUGACGCUGAGGAGCGAAAGCAUGGGGAGCGAAC